AUUGAACGCUGGCGGCAGGCCUAACACAUGCAAGUCGAACGAGUGGCGGAAGGGUGAGUAAUGUCUGGGAAACUGACUGAUGGAGGGGGAUAACUACUGGAAACGGUAACUAAUAACGCAUACACUCAGCAGUGCCAAGAUGGGAUUAGCUUGUUGGUGGGGUAACGGCUCACCAAGGCGACGAUCCCUAGCUGGUCUGAGAGGAUGACCAGCCACACUGGAACUGAGACACGGUCAAGACUCCUACGGGAGUCAGCAGUGGGGAAUAUUGCACAAUGGGCGCAAGCCGGAUGCAGCCAUGCCGCGUGUAUGAAGAAGGCCUUCGGGUUGUAAAGUACUUUCAGCGGUGAGGCGUUACCCGCAGAAGAAGCACCGGCUAACUCCGUGCCAGCAGCCGCGGUAAUUC
rnacentral:rRNA from 1 species